UUCUAUCCCCCUCUCUCUCUCUCUCUGCUUCACUCCUUCCGUCUCUGCUUCACUCUUUCCCUCUGUUCGUGCUUCUCAGGUUGUCGGUGUUCAAGGAGUGAAGCGACGGUGAGUUGAAAAUCCUCGGGCUUCAACUGGUGUAUCUCUCUUCAAGCAACGGCCUUGCCCUCAGCACUUUCCAAGCUGUUUUGGUGCCAACUGUCAUUGGAGUAAGAUCACCAAAGGGUAGCAUCUCAAGGUCCUUUACCAAUGAACACUUCUCAAGAACUUCUUGGAGAUGCAUUUGGAUCUCACAUCACAUGGGUUAAAUCAAUGCGAAGGUCUUGAGUAUGAUGCACGUGCAUAUAAUCAACUGUUCAGAUGCAAUAAGGAUAAUUUUGUUAAUUUUCUUUUCUUUUUUGGUGAUGAAAAAAAUGUAUUAAAAGUGUGUAUUGAAUAAAGACUACUAUGAAUAUUUUGUAUAAAUUUGUAAAGUUUUUAUCAUACAGGAACAUGUGAAAUUAA